rnacentral:rRNA from 1 species
GCACCAGACUCCUACGGGAGGCAGCAGUGGGGAAUAUUGCACAAUGGGGGGAACCCUGAUGCAGCGACGCCGCGUGGGCGAGGAAGUAUUUCGGUAUGUAAAGCCCUAUCGGCAGGGAAGAAGAAAUGACGGUACCUGAAUAAGAAGCACCGGCUAAAUACGUGCCAGCAGCCGCUGUAAUACGUAGGGGGCCAGCGUUAUCCGGAUUUACUGGGUGUAAAGGGAGCGUAGACGGCGGUGCAAGCCAGAUGUGAAAGCCCGGGGCUCAACCCCGGGACGGCAUUUGGAACUGUGCUGCUAGAGUGUCGGAGAGGCAGGCGGAAUUCCUAGUGUAGCGGUGAAAUGCGUAGAUAUUAGGAGGAACACCAGUGGCGAAGGCGGCCUGCCGGACGAUGACUGACGUUGAGGCUCGAAAGCGUGGGGAGCAAACAGGAUGAGAUA